GUGUGCUGCUAGGGGCGCCCCAGACCGGGCUGAGAUUAACCCUUCGAACCUGAUCCGGCUAGUACCGGCGUAGGGAACGCAAGCACAGAACGGU
rnacentral:ncRNA from 2 species